rnacentral:rRNA from 1 species
GAUGAACGCUGGCGGCGUGCCUAAUACAUGCAAGUCGAGCGAACAGACGAGGAGCUUGCUCCUCUGACGUUAGCGGCGGACGGGUGAGUAACACGUGGAUAACCUACCUAUAAGACUGGGAUAACUUCGGGAAACCGGAGCUAAUACCGGAUAAUAUAUUGAACCGCAUGGUUCAAUAGUGAAAGACGGUUUUGCUGUCACUUAUAGAUGGAUCCGCGCCGCGUUAGCUAGUUGGUAAGGUAACGGCUUACCAAGGCAACGAUGCGUAGCCGACCUGAGAGGGGGAUCGGCCACACUGGAACUGAGACACGGUCCAGACUCCUACGGGAGGCAGCAGUAGGGAAUCUUCCGCAAUGGGCGAAAGCCUGACGGAGCAACGCCGCGUGAGUGAUGAAGGUCUUCGGAUCGUAAAACUCUGUUAUUAGGGAAGAACAAAUGUGUAAGUAACUAUGCACGUCUUGACGGUACCUAAUCAGAAAGCCACGGCUAACUACGUG